GACCCCGUAGCUCAGUUGGAUAGAGCAUCCGCCUCCUAAGCGGAAGGUCGUGCGUUCGAAUCGCAUCGGAGUCA
rnacentral:tRNA from 1 species